rnacentral:rRNA from 1 species
GGAGGGUGCAAGCGUUAAUCGGAAUUACUGGGCGUAAAGCGCGCGUAGGCGGUUGAGUGAGUCAGAUGUGAAAGCCCCGGGCUCAACCUGGGAACUGCAUUUGAUACUGCUUGACUAGAGUCUGACAGAGGGUGGCGGAAUUCCGGGUGUAGCGGUGAAAUGCGUAGAUAUCCGGAGGAACACCGGUGGCGAAGGCGGCCACCUGGGUCAAGACUGACGCUGAGGUGCGAAAGCGUGGGGGAGCAAACAGGAUUAGAUACCCUGGUAGUCCACGCUGUAAACGAUGAGAACUUGGUGUUGGGUGGGUAGCUGCUCAGUGCCGAAGCAAACGCGAUAAGUUCUCCGCCUGGGAGUACGGCCGCAAGGUUG